rnacentral:rRNA from 1 species
AUGAACGCUGGCGGCGUGCCUAAUACCUGCAAGUCGAGCGAACAGAUGAGGAGCUUGCUCCUCUGACGUUAGCGGCGGACGGGUGAGUAACACGUGGAUAACCUACCUAUAAGACUGGGAUAACUUCGGGAAACCGGAGCUAAUACCGGAUAAUAUAUUGAACCGCAUGGUUCAAUAGUGAAAGACGGUUUUGCUGUCACUUAUAGAUGGAUCCGCGCCGCAUUAGCUAGUUGGUAAGGUAACGGCUUACCAAGGCAACGAUGCGUAGCCGACCUGAGAGGGUGAUCGGCCACACUGGAACUGAGACACGGUCCAGACUCCUACGGGAGGCAGCAGUAGGGAAUCUUCCGCAAUGGGCGAAAGCCUGACGGAGCAACGCCGCGUGAGUGAUGAAGGUCUUCGGAUUGUAAAGCACUUUAAGUUGGGAGGAAGGGCAGUAAGUUAAUACCUUGCUGUUUUGACGUUACCAACAGAAUAAGCACCGGCUAACUUCGUG